rnacentral:rRNA from 1 species
UACGUAGGGCGCAAGCGUUGUCCGGAAUUAUUGGGCGUAAAGAGCUCGUAGGCGGCUUGUCGCGUCUGCUGUGAAAACCUAAGGCUCAACCUUGGGCUUGCAGUGGGUACGGGCAGACUAGAGUGCGGUAGGGGUGACUGGAAUUCCUGGUGUAGCGGUGGAAUGCGCAGAUAUCAGGAGGAACACCGAUGGCGAAGGCAGGUCACUGGGCCGCAACUGACGCUGAGGGAGCGAAAGCAUGGGGAGCGAACAGG